GCUAGUGCUAGUAUGCCGCAGGAAAGCGCGUCUACAUAUCAAGUUAGCACUACGAAAGAACCGUGGCUAAGAGGGGCUUCGAGGCUUGAACAGGAGAAGACGGCGCAAGGUCUAUUUCUUUUUCGUUCGACUGUUGCCACGAGAGGUGUACAGACAUGGACACAUGGAGAGAGGACAGCAGGAAGGCGUGGAAGAUAAUGGAAUUCGGCGUGGACCAUGAGGCUACAUUCCAACCCUCCUCUCUAUCGGCUCCGUUAGACGUGGAGGAUUUGAACACGACAACUGUUCCAUGGAAGUUCCAAGAAUAGUUUUACGCGCGGCUAGGUAGUUCCACACAAGUAAGUUGCACACAGGUACGUAGUUCCAAAUAAGUA